UUUUUUCCCCAUGGAUACUACUGUGGCAGUGCCUGGUUAGCAUUUGUGAGCUGCUGUAUCAAGUCUAGGGCAUUCAAAGAAGAAAUCUUCUGAGCCAGUGCCAGUCCCUCUUCCAAGUCGUCCACUGUCCCACCUCAACAAUGAAGACCUCCAGGACCUGCCUCUCACAGUUCAUCCUACACACACAUUGGCAACACAAUCAUCUUCCUAAAACAAUAACCAAAAUUUUCCUCUAUGCCAAAACCUGCGAUGCCUAUACAAUAAAGUUCAUAUUCAUAUAAAUUAA